rnacentral:rRNA from 1 species
GGAUUCAUUUUCUCAGUAACGUAGCUUAACGCGUGGAAGUUGACCGCCUGGGGAGUACGGUCGCAAGAUUAAAACUCAAAGGAAUUGACGGGGACCCGCACAAGCGGUGGAUGAUGUGGAUUAAUUCGAUGCAACGCGAAAAACCUUACCUACCCUUGACAUGCCACUAACGAAGCAGAGAUGCAUUAGGUGCCCGAAAGGGAAAGUGGACACAGGUGCUGCAUGGCUGUCGUCAGCUCGUGUCGUGAGAUGUUGGGUUAAGUCCCGCAACGAGCGCAACCCUUGUCUCUAGUUGCUACGCAAGAGCACUCUAGAGAGACUGCCGGUGACAAACCGGAGGAAGGUGGGGAUGACGUCAAGUCCUCAUGGCCCUUAUGGGUAGGGCUUCACACGUCAUACAAUGGUGCGUACAGAGGGUUGCCAACCCGCGAGGGGGAGCUAAUCCCAGAAAACGCAUCGUAGUCCGGAUCGUAGUCUGCAACUCGACUACGUGAAGCUGGAAUCGCUAGUAAUCGCGGAUCAGCAUGCCGCGGUGAAUACG